rnacentral:rRNA from 1 species
AGCGAACGCUGGCGGCAGGCCUAACACAUGCAAGUCGAGCGCCCCGCAAGGGGAGCGGCAGACGGGAGAGUAACACGUGGGAACAUGCCCUUCAGUACGGAACAACCAAGGGAAACUUUGGCUAAUACCGUAUACGCCCGUAAGGGGAAAGAUUUAUCGCUGAAGGAUUGGCCCGCGUCUGAUUAGCUAGUUGGUGGGGUAAUGGCCCACCAAGGCGACGAUCAGUAGCUGGUCUGAGAGGAUGAUCAGCCUCACUGGGACUGAGACACGGCCCAGACUCCUACGGGAGGCAGCAGUGGGGAAUAUUGGACAAUGGGCGCAAGCCUGAUCCAGCCAUGCCGCGUGAGUGAUGAAGGCCUUAGGGUUGUAAAGCUCUUUCGUCAGGGAAGAUAAUGACGGUACCUGAAGAAGAAGCCCCGGCUAACUUCGUGCCAGCAGCCGCGGUAACAC